rnacentral:rRNA from 1 species
UAACAAGGAUUCCCUUAGUAACGGCGAGUGAACCGGGAAAAGCUCAAAUUUGUAAUCUGGCUGUCUUCGAUAGUCCGAGUUGUAAUCUAUAGACGUGUUUUCCGUGCUGGACCGUAUCUAAGUCCCUUGGAACAGGGUAUCAAAGAGGGUGACAAUCCCGUGCUUGAUACGACCACCAGUGCUCUGUGAUACACGCUCUACGAGUCGAGUUGUUUGGGAAUGCAGCUCAAAAUGGGUGGUAAAUUCCAUCUAAAGCUAAAUAUUGGCGAGAGACCGAUAGCGAACAAGUACCGUGAGGGAAAGAUGAAAAGCACUUUGGAAAGAGAGUUAAACAGUACGUGAAAUUGUUGAAAGGGAAACGAUUGAAGUCAGUCGUGUUCUUUGGAUUCAGCUAGUUCUUCUAGUCUACUUCCUUUGAACGGGUCAACAUCAGUUUUGUCCGGUGGAUAAAGAUAGUAGGAAUGUAGCUCCCUCGGGAGUGUUAUAGACUAUUAUUGCAUGCACUGGGUGAGACUGAGGACUGCAGCUCGCCUUUUGGCCGACCUUCGGGUACGUUCGAGCUUAGGA